AACAAAUGAAGGAACUCUCCUCUGCUCAUUCUGGUGGUCUCUCAGUCCAUGGGAACCGUGGUGAAGAAAUAAAUGAAAGUCCCACAGGCUUUGGCUAGCAGGCCUGGAAAUACCUUGGACAUUUGGGUGACCCUUGUAUCAAAAGAGGGGGGUUGUGAUAGAAUUUAUCUUGAUUCCAAGGCUCAAGCUUAUAGGUGUCAUAUAAUGAUAUCCUAUAUUAAAAUUGGC